CAGACAGGGCUGGAGGGGCUUUCAAUCAGCAACCCCCUGGUCCCCCCAGCACUGACAACUAAGCCUGAGGAGGAGAAGGCAGCUUCCUGCCGGUGCCUGACACCACCAUGCAACAGGAGUCCCAGGGUACUUGAGAAUCCCGCAGACUGCAAGGCGAAAAAUAACCAGCAUGUUCGAGCUGGUGGGGACUGGAACACAAACACCCCCCCACAGUAUCAGGGAAACACUUUGCCGGGAGCAGCAACGUGAGAAUGCCACUAGGAUGACUUAACUAGGAAGCGCAGCGGGGCAUCUCCCACCUGACGGCUUGGGCAGUGUGGGCCCUGCACCCAGAUUUGGGAAGCUGGUCGGUGGAAGAAGAUGAAAGGCAGGGUUUCCCUCUCCGGAUGUGGCCAUCAUUUCCUCAGGCCAACGACUGGGACAUCAGGGCUGUCUGCAGAAGGGCGUGUGGUUACGCUGUGAUCCCUGCUUUGUAAAACACUGUUUCUUUUCUGAACUUUCGCUCACAUUUCCCAUGCACCAUGCCUACUGCAUAGAUCAGGGGAGGCAAUUUAACAGAUGUCAUAUUCUCCCGGGUUUGUACAGAGCAGGACUGAAUAAAUAAGUCAUUCAACACUG